UAGUUGCACGCCAGAUAUAUUGUGCAGACUACCUAAUCUUCAAACUCUUAGAGUGUCUGGAGAUUUGAGUUGCUAUCACUCUGGGGUUUCCAAAAGCGUAUGCGAACUCCACAAAGUUGAAUGCUUGAAGUUGGUGAAUGAGAGCAAGCUCUCACGGAUGGUCCUGUCUGAAUACCAAUUUCCUCCAAGUCUGAUCCAACUGAGCUUAUCAAAUACUGAGCUAAUGGAGGAUCCCAUGCCAAUGCUGGAAAAGCUUCCACGCCUUCAAGUGCUGAAACUGAAGCAGAACUCGUAUUUAGGAAGAAAGCUGGCCUGCGUUGGCUCUGGUGGCUUUCCGGAACUUAAGAUUUUGCACCUGAAGUCAAUGUAUUGGCUAGACGAGUGGACGAUGGGGGCAGGAGCAAUGCCAAAACUUGAAAGCUUAAUUGUCAACCCAUGUGCUUACUUGAGAAAGCUUCCAGAAGAGCUAUGGUGCAUAAAGAGCUUGUGCAAAUUGGAUUUACAUUGGCCCCAGUCAGAGUUGAGACAAAGACUACGAACUUUCGAGGAUAUGGAGUGGCGGUAUGACAUCCAGUUAUAUCCUUACGGAAUCUGAUAGAUUGAAUUGGGUGACUUUUAAUCUAAUCUGAUAACUCAUACUUCUGUUACUUGCCUCUUUUUAUAUACGCUUUUUUUACCAUUUUCUCAGUAGAUUUGCAUCUAUUGUAAAACCUUCAAAGGGUCAUACAAAAGCCAAACUAAUUGGGAUUGCUUCCAAUGUCAAAAUUAUGUCUCAACAUAAAUUUUCGCAUGAUAUUGGAUGACAUAAUCAAGUCCGUGAUGCCUCCAUCUCGGGUUAGUGUAGUUAUAGGUGAAGAUUAUCAAUUGAAGAAAUCUAUUCUUCGAGAUUACCUAACAAACAAGAAGUACUUUAUUGUGCUUGAUGAUUACUGUGAAGAGAGUGACGAUGUAUUGGAUGAUCUUGAAGAAGUACUUCCUGAGAAUCAGAAUGGAAGCAGAGUAUUGAUAACGGUCACGGAUUCAGGCUUCCUUUGCUCGUUCGAAUUAGAAAAUGGAGAGCCGAUUCUUCCUGAUUCAGUUCUCGUUGGAGGACCAUUGAUCAGAUUAAAGCAUGAAUCCUGGCAAUUUUUCAUCCUAUACUAUGGAAAAACGACAUUAAGAAUUUACAUGGGAGAAAAAGCGUUUCUGACAGCUUGGAGUACAAUUUAUUCUGUGUUGGAGUUACCUGUUCACUUGAAAAUCUGCUGCCUCUAUUUGUGUUUGUUCCAUCCAGUCAUUGAGAUAUCUACCAGGCAAUUAUAUUGGUUGUGGGUAGCUGAAGGUUUCAUACCACACAACAGUGAGGAAACUGCCGAGCACUACUUGAAUGAACUAAUCGAUCGUGGCUUCAUUCAAGUGAAGAAGAGAAGAGCCGGAGGCACAAUUAAGGCGUGCUAUGUUCCAACUUUUGCAUAUGUUGCGUUACUUUUGCCGGCAGCAUUGACGGGAUUUUUUUGGUCGCCUGGAUUGGAAGAGGAAUCAAUGGCAAAUGCCAAACGGUACAUCAUUGCCGAUGAUCUGAUUGAGUUCUUUUCUUUGAAACAUUCUGACAUGUACCUCCAAUCUUUUCUGAAUCACAGUUCAGAAAGCGAUCAUCUUAAUCCGAUAGAUUGCGAGAAUUUUUGUAAAAUGUUCAAACACCUUCGGGUAUUGAACAUGGGUUCUGCAGUCCUGGACCCAUAUCCACCCGGAUUAGAAAAUUUAUUCCAUUUGAAGUAUUUGAAAUUGAAUAUCCCUUCGCUCAAAUGUCUUCCUUCACUGCUAUGCACCCUUUCAAACCUUCAAACACUAGACAUGCCAUCUAGCUACGUAGAUCAAACGCCAGAGGAUAUUUGGAAGAUGCAAAAACUCAUGCAUCUGAACUUUGGUUCCAUCACUCUGCCUGCACCUCCAAAAAAUUAUUCCAGCUCUCUGAAAAAUCUUAUUUUCAUAUCAGCCUUACACCCUAGUAGUUGCACGCCAGAUAUAUUGGAGCUUCCUUUACAUCUCCCAUAGCGAGAGUCUGUCUCCCAUACAUCAAUGUUUCCACAAGAUUCUCAUAGGAACUCGGCAGAGAGCAGAGCAGGAUCAUGGCUUUGUCUUCAUCAUCAAUUUUGAUUCCCCUUGGCUUUCUCAUCAUAAUUAAACCUUCAUGGAGUUGAAGAAGACAAAGGAAGAAUCAAUUGAAAGAAAUACUAGAGACAUUUCAUAUUGAAAUACUGGAUAUUGGAUUUUAUUUCUAAAAAUACCAAAGUUUUUUCUUUGACAGAUAUCUAAUUAUUUUUCUGGCAUCAACCGCUUUCAACAGCACUUCCAACUUCCAAGUUGAAGAAAGUGAUAUAAUUAUCACUUCUUUCCCAAAGUCAAGUAGUGGUACCACAUUACUAGGCUCUGACUUUUACCAUUAUUAGCUGCUCCAGCCAGGGGCGGAGACAGCAUAGUGAUUCACUGGGGGCUUAUUCAACAGUAAUAUAAAAAAAUUUCAAAAAGUAAUAAAAAUAUAAAUUUAAAAGAUUUAUAGUACUCUGCUGUACGGCCAAGGCGGAUGUACGGUACAGCAGAAACCUUCAAAGGGUCAUACAAAAGCCAAACUAAUUGGGAUUGCUUCCAAUGUCAAAAUUAUGUCUCAACAUAGACUCAAUUUGAGUAUCAAAACAGAGUGGGAUCGCAAAUUGCAGCAGAGAAACAAAGUAACAAAGAUAGAUCAUUUUGUAUCUAUCUAAUAAUUAGAACUGUAAAAGUUGAUUUUCAUCUAUGAUUCUUAUUUCCCUGUACUUGUGUAGACAAAAUCGGCAAGGGAAAUAUUGUAAUUCAAUAUUUGCUAUAACUGAUGCCAUGGUUG
rnacentral:lncRNA from 1 species